AACGCUGGCGGCAUGCCUUACACAUGCAAGUCGAACGGCAGCACGGGAGCAAUCCUGGUGGCGAGUGGCGAACGGGUGAGUAAUAUAUCGGAACGUGCCCGGUCGUGGGGGAUAACGUAGCGAAAGCUACGCUAAUACCGCAUACGAUCUACGGAUGAAAGCGGGGGAUCGCAAGACCUCGCGCGAUUGGAGCGGCCGAUAUCAGAUUAGGUAGUUGGUGAGGUAAAGGCUCACCAAGCCGACGAUCUGUAGCUGGUCUGAGAGGACGACCAGCCACACUGGGACUGAGACACGGCCCAGACUCCUACGGGAGGCAGCAGUGGGGAAUUUUGGACAAUGGGCGCAAGCCUGAUCCAGCAAUGCCGCGUGCAGGAUGAAAGGCCUUCGGGUUGUAAACUGCUUUUGUACGGAACGAAACGGUGAGCUCUAAUACAGUUUGCUAAUGACGGUACCGUAAGAAUAAGCACCGGCUAACUACGUG
rnacentral:rRNA from 1 species